rnacentral:rRNA from 1 species
GACGAACGCUUGCGGCGUGCCUAAGAAAUGCAAGUCGAGCGAGGUUCAGGCUUCGGCCGAAAACCUAGCGGCGAACGGUCGCGUAACACGUAAGCAACCUGCCCUAAAGUGGGGGAUAGCCCUCCGAAAGGAGGAUUAAUACCGCAUGUGGAUGCUUUCUCGCAUGUGAGAGCAUCUGAAGCAGCAAUGCGCUUUAGGAUGGGCUUGCGGCCUAUCAGCUAGUUGGUGGGGUAACGGCCUACCAAGGCGACGACGGGUAGCUGGUCUGAGAGGAUGGUCAGCCGGACUGGGACUGAGAUACGGCCCAGACUCCUACGGGAGGCUG